UACGUGGGGAGCAAGCGUUGUUCGGAUUUACUGGGCGUAAAGGGCUCGUAGGCGGCCAACUAAGUCAGACGUGAAAUCCCUCGGCUUAACCGGGGAACUGCGUCUGAUACUGGAUGGCUAGAGUUUGGGAGAGGGAUGCGGAAUUCCAGGUGUAGCGGUGAAAUGCGUAGAUAUCUGGAGGAACACCGGUGGCGAAGGCGGCAUCCUGGACCGGUAUUGACGCUGAUGCGCGAAAGCCAGGGGAGCAAACGGG
rnacentral:rRNA from 1 species